rnacentral:rRNA from 1 species
UGGCUCAGGAUGAACGCUAGCGGGAGGCCUAACACAUGCAAGCCGAGCGGUAGAGAUUCUUCGGAAUCUUGAGAGCGGCGUACGGGUGCGGAACACGUGUGCAACCUGCCUUUAUCUGGGGGAUAGCCUUUCGAAAGGAAGAUUAAUACCCCAUAAUAUAUUGAUUGGCAUCAAUUGAUAUUGAAAACUCCGGUGGAUAGAGAUGGGCACGCGCAAGAUUAGAUAGUUGGUGAGGUAACGGCUCACCAAGUCUACGAUCUUUAGGGGGCCUGAGAGGGUGAUCCCCCACACUGGUACUGAGACACGGACCAGACUCCUACGGGAGGCAGCAGUGAGGAAUAUUGGACAAUGGGUGAGAGCCUGAUCCAGCCAUCCCGCGUGAAGGACGACGGCCCUAUGGGUUGUAAACUUCUUUUGUAUAGGGAUAAACCUUUCCACGUGUGGGAAGCUGAAGGUACUAUACGAAUAAGCACCGGCUAACUCCGUGCCAGCAGCCGCGGUAAUACGGAGGGUGCAAGCGUUAUCCGGAUUUAUUGGGUUUAAAGGGUCCGUAGGCGGAUCUGUAAGUCAGUGGUGAAAUCUCACAGCUUAACUGUGAAACUGCCAUUGAUACUGCAGGUCUUGAGUAAGGUAGAAGUAGCUGGAAUAAGUAGUGUAGCGGUGAAAUGCAUAGAUAUUACUUAGAACACCAAUUGCGAAGGCAGGUUACUAUGUCUUAACUGACGCUGAUGGACGAAAGCGUGGGGAGCGAACAGGAUUAGAUACCCUGGUAGUCCACGCCGUAAACGAUGCUAACUCGUUUUUGGGUUUUCGGAUUCAGAGACUAAGCGAAAGUGAUAAGUUAGCCACCUGGGGAGUACGAACGCAAGUUUGAAACUCAAAGGAAUUGACGGGGGCCCGCACAAGCGGUGGAUUAUGUGGUUUAAUUCGAUGAUACGCGAGGAACCUUACCAAGGCUUAAAUGGGAAAUGACAGGUUUAGAAAUAGACUUUUCUUCGGACAUUUUUCAAGGUGCUGCAUGGUUGUCGUCAGCUCGUGCCGUGAGGUGUUAGGUUAAGUCCUGCAACGAGCGCAACCCCUGUCACUAGUUGCCAUCAUUAAGUUGGGGACUCUAGUGAGACUGCCUACGCAAGUAGAGAGGAAGGUGGGGAUGACGUCAAAUCAUCACGGCCCUUACGCCUUGGGCCACACACGUAAUACAAUGGCCAGUACAGAGGGCAGCUACACGGUGACGUGAUGCAAAUCUCGAAAGCUGGUCUCAGUUCGGAUUGGAGUCUGCAACUCGACUCUAUGAAGCUGGAAUCGCUAGUAAUCGCGCAUCAGCCAUGGCGCGGUGAAUACGUUCCCGGGCCUUGUACACACCGCCCGUCAAGCCAUGGAAGUCUGGGGUACCUGAAGUCGGUGACCGUAAUAGGAGCUGCCUAGGGUAAAACAGGUAACUAGGGCUAAGUCGUAACA